UACGUAGGUGGCGAGCGUUGUCCGGAUUUACUGGGCGUAAAGCGUGCGUAGACGGUUAUGUAAGUCAGAUGUGAAAGCCCCGGGCUUAACCUGGGAAUGGCAUUUGAGACUGCAUAGCUAGGGUGCGGAAGAGGGAAGCGGAAUUUCCGGUGUAGCGGUGAAAUGCGUAGAUAUCGGAAGGAACACCGGUGGCGAAGGCGGAUCUCUGGGCCUUACCUGACGCUCAGGCGCGAAAGCUAGGGGAGCGAACAGG
rnacentral:rRNA from 1 species